rnacentral:misc_RNA from 1 species
UUAAAAUCGACUACUACGUAUAUACAUAUAUAAUACAUACAGAAUAUGUAUUUUUUUCAAAAUUAUUUAAAAAUACAAUUUUAUUCUUUGACAUCUAUUCCAAAGCGGUAAAAAAUCGAAUUACUCUCCAGUUUCCCACUUAUUUAGCCAUUCGUAGCCGCACUAAACAAUCCACAAUUUCAUCCCCAAUAUAAAUUUAUAUUAAAAUAUUCAUCAAAGAAAUUAUACAAAAUAUUCUUUUCCACGAUCGCUCAAUUUGCGAAAUUCCGCAGCAUACAAAUAAAUGCAAUUUCAUUUAUAACUAUAUAAUAUAAUAUACAUAAUAUAUUUUUUAAAUAUAAUUUAUUGCGUUUUUAUUUCAACAUUUAUAAGCGACACUUAGUUUUGAUAUAUGAUAUUUUUUUUAACAAGUUUCUGC